AAAAACCUUCAAAAAUCUGUAGCUUCACAUAAUAUAAAUAAAAUUGAAAAAUUUAAUUUAAAAUAUUGAAUUUUCUAGUACAAAGUUAUGACUAAUUAAUUUGAAGGGGGCCACAACCUCUCCAGUCUACUCUCUAUGAUUGAAUAGCAAUGUCUAAUAAAUUUAAAAAUAUACAUAAAGAACAAUUAAAGCUUAGGAUUUGUUUCUAUAAAAAAGAAAAUUCAUCAAUGCCAUUUGGCAAUCUUAUGAAUUCGUUUGAAGUCGAUAUAUUUGCAGAUUUGUUACUUCAUGAGACUUCUAUGCGAAGUAUUUCAUAUAUUCAAAAAUAGGUAUCUGAGAAAAUGUAUUACUUUCUUUAUUUCUUAUACCUGGAUUUGACUGUACGUCUAUGAAUAGGUUGUGAACAACUUGGAAUCUGUAUAAGGAUAUUUUUCAAAUUUCAACCAAAAAAUUAGAUUAACAAUUUUAAAUGAAGGGUUUAGAGUAGUAAUUGGGGUUAGGAUUAUGGAAUAAUUGAUUAGUAUAAGAAUUAUAAAAAUAUUCUGUAGUACGUAAGAUAGCUCCAAUAACCAAAGUUAUAUUACUCAUAAAUAAAUAAUAACCAUUUAAUUUGAAUAGAUCCAAAGAAAGCGAUAGUAUUAGUCAAUCAUUGGCAAUUUAGACUGACUAACACUACAUAGUAUUAUAAUAAUUUAUAUGUGUGUCUAAUUUCCGUUCGUCCCCCUUGGAAAAACAAUCUUAAAAACUGAAUGGAAAUAGAUACAGACUUUAGAAAAUAAAUAAAUUUUGCUUGGAAUUCUGAGUUACAUAGUUAGGGAUAUGGUUUAUUCUGAUCAUACACGAUUCCUGGCAUCUGGAUAGCAAGUAUGUUUUUUUGCUAAUAAGUUUUAUUUUUUUAUACAACAAGAACGAUUCUGCGUGUCUCUAAGUUUUUUUCUAAGGUAUGGGUUGCAAUGUGUUGAAAAUGCACAAAAAAACAUCAUCCAAUAAACGAAUUAUUGCCCGAACAGAAAAGAGGAGAACGAAUAAAUACGAAUUAAAAACGGGAAUUAGAAGGAACGUACAAUUUAGCAAUAACAAUCACAAUAAAUAAAUCACAAGGUCAAACAUUUGAAAAAAUUGCUAAUUAUUUACCAAAAUCAGUAUUUUCACAUGGUCAACUAUAUGUUGCAUUUUCAAGAGUGUCAAAAGGAGCUGCAGGUUUGAUUAUAUCUACAUCAAAUGGACUGAAAACAACUAAAAAUGUAGUAUACAAGAAGGUAUUAAAAUAGAAAUUUACCCAUUAUAUAAUAAUAGUUUAUAGUAGAUCGUUUUAGCUUAGAAUUCUAACAUAAGCAGACUAAAUAUAAAUAAAAUGAUUUAAUUUUUCAUCGGUUAUUUUGAAGAUAGCUCGUGUUUGUACUAGUGUUGUAAUUAAAUUAAUGAAUUUAAAAUUAAGUAAUUGCAGCUUGUACAAUUUGUUUAUACAAUUUGCAACUUGUACCCUUUAUGUAUAUACACAUAUGAAGUAAAAAAAUUAACUGAGAUUUAAUAAAAUAAAUAUGGAAUUUCUCCUUUCCUUAAUUUUUGUUCAAUAUUAUUUUAUGUUGACGCAUCACAACUUUUAGAUAGUGCUAGAAAAGCUCAAAGAAUUUUUGUAAUAUGCGUUUCAAUCCAAUGAUAAAAAAAAGUCAAUUUUGAGAUUCAAGAAAAAACUUAAUAUUGUAUUUUAUUAAUAAAGGUAAAUUGGCAAUUUAUUUUCUAAGUGCCACACUUACUUUUGAUUACUUUUGUAACACAAAUUACAAAAGUUUUAUAUCCAAAUUAUCACAAUAGUUCUUUUUCUUUGCAUGUUAUGACUUCUAUAUUUUUUUUUUUUUUUUUUUGAGUAGCAGAUGUUUACAAUUGAUAAGUUGGGGCCCAGAUAGCAAUAAUAAUAAUUAUAUAUUAAAUCCAUUUAUAUGAUAUUAAAGUAAAACAGAUCUUUGUAGAAAUUUAAGUUUAUAUUUGCUUUUUUGUAAAUUGAUUUACUUUCAACUUUGAUUUUAAUAAUAAAAACUUCACAACAAGUUGAAAUUUUAAAUACGGAACAAGUUUAGUCCUUAAUAUCUUGGCAACACUAAGAUCUAUUUUGAUAAAUUUGAAUUCUCCCAAUACGAACGCCAUGUGGCCAUUAUGGGUUAACUUCGUUCUGGGUGCUCACCUCGGAUUAUUUGAGAUUAUGAGCUGCCCAAAUUAAUUGUAUAAGAUGUUGUCAAGGCUUUCAAAGAAUCUGAUGGGUCGGGAACACCUGCUAGAAGGACUAAUGAUCGUUCCAAGAACAAAAUACGCACCCCUGACUUCCUGGAGAUAGUCUUAUUCCUGAAUGUGGCAUCCCAACUCGCACGAUUCGAAUCCCAUUGAAUAUGUGGGGUAUUUUGGAGAGAACGUCCAAUAAAAAUGCACAUAACACUGUUGAGUCCUUGGAGGCUUCAAUUCUCAAGGUGGUUUCCAAUAUGAUCAAGAAGUAACUCUUCAAGGCCUUUUCAAGGUUCAGAACCAUGUUGAAGACUGCGAUUGAAGCUAGAGGUAGUUGCUUCGAGUGAUUGACUUCAUGAUGGACACCUACAUCUAAGAAUAAAAGUUUCCAGAUUUAAAAUCCCUAACUUAUAUUAACUGGUGGUAUUUAGAAAUAGUAACCAAAAAACCCCAAAAGUGACGUAGUAUUCCAAGCAAUUUGAAGAAUAUUUUUGAGGAGAGCAGCUUAGUUGUAAGAUGUUUCAUUAAAUUAUCUCCAAUCAGUUAUAAGAGGAAGUAAAUAAACACAAAUUCCACUCUAUAUCUAACAAGGACAAAAGCAGGAAUUUUUGGAAGUCAGACCCUCCAUUUUACUGAACCCAAUAGCCCCUCCAGCUCGCCCCCUAUGGAAGCUUCUGGUAAAAAUAAUAACUUCUGAAAAUAAAAAACACUCUAGAGUUUGCAACUACCUACAUAAAAUCUUGUGCUCUAUAAUUUUCAUAUUUUUUUCAUCUAUACCAGUUGAUGUAUAAAUUUUGGUUACUGUUUUAUAUAAGUUUUAUUUGACAUUUUACUUAAUCAAAGAAAGUCAGUUGUUUGACUAACUGUAAUAAGUAAUUAAUUUUUUAGAGGCAUUGAGAUUAACCCCAAUCUAAGUAUUCUUCAUAUUAAUGCAUUUGAUUAGUCAUCUAAUCGAUUAAUUUAUAUUAAAUUUCGGCUAAAAAGGCAAAUUUUACAUUAAUAAUAAGGAAGAUAACUCCCAAGAAAUCCUCAGUGUUAUUAUCCAUUAUUUAUGAGGAAAUACACACAUAAAUACACAAUACUUUUAUCAAUUAAUUUUUUUAGGAGAAUUUUUUUUCUAACACAACCUAAUGCACUUUCUACAUAUUAUAUAAAA
rnacentral:lncRNA from 1 species